rnacentral:other from 2 species
AAUACCCUGCCUUGUUCGCACUAAGGGCACGACGUCUCUGACCCAACAUGUAAAUGUUAAUGGGAGCUCGACGUUCAUACGGGGCCCGCACGUUCUCUUCGGAGAAAUCCGGAAUCCGUAUGACAGAGCACCCACCUCGCAAAACGAGGUACAGAGAUUGCGCCCCGACGACUAUGGCGGGGUAUUU